CGCGUCUCCGGGGCCGUUGCCGCCGCCGCGUCCGCAGCUGAGCCCAGGCGGGCCGGCUGCCCCGAGCCGCCCUGAGCCGCCCCCCGCCGCCGCCGCCGCGCCCCCGCCCGGCCCGCUCCCAACGGAAAGUUGGGCUGCCGCGGGCGGCGUCUGGAACCCGCGGGCCGGCAUGAGCGGGGGCCGCGGGGGCGCCUAGGGCACCGGGAGGCGGCGCCGCGCGGGGGCAACUUCGCCCGGGAGCCCGCGCCGCCGGGCCCCGCGCCUGCAGCCCCGAGCGGGCUCGCGGUGGUUCCUCCCGUCCCGCGGCCUCCCCCCGCCGAUUCCAGGCGCGGACCUUGGUCCCGGCGGCUCCGCGGUGGUGACACGAGCCCGCGCCGCCGCUGCCGCUGCCGCCGCCGCCGCCUCCUCAGCCCCCGCCGCCGCCUUCCCCGCACCAUGGAGUUCUCCGAGAGGAAAAGAAGCAGGAAAUCCCAGAGCUUCAAACUGGUGAGCCGAGAUUAUCACCAUGAGGUGUAUAAGAUCCCAGAAUUCAGCAACGAUGUUAAUGGGGAGGCCAAAGAGACACAACCCAUUUUUUUAGGAGAUGAAAGCAUGGAAAUAAAAAAGCAAAUUACAGGAAUGAGAAGAUUGCUGAACGACAGCACUGGGCGGAUCUAUCAGCGAGUUGGCAAAGAAGGAGAGAAACUAAAAGAAGAGCCCCAGGACCUGGAUUUAGUCUGGCCUCCGCGUUUGAACUCGUCUGCUGAGGCCCCACAGAGCCUCCACCCGUCUUCACGUGUGUGGAAUGAGCUACCGCCCCAGAGUGGACAGUUCUCAGGGCAGUAUGGCACCCGUUCUAGAACCUUCCAAAGCCAGCCCCACCCUGCUGCGAGCUCCAAUGGUAUGGUUGUGAACAAGCAUUCAGAAGGCUCUCAUGGGGGAGAACUUCCAGUGGUGAAUUCAUCAGCUGGAUCAAACUGCUGUACUUGUAACUGCCAGUCAACAUUGCAGGCCAUUCUGCAAGAACUCAAGACCAUGAGGAAAUUAAUGCAAAUUCAAGCAGUUGGAACUCAAAACAGACAACAACCCCCAAUUUCCCUUAUAUGCUCCCAGCGAACUGCUGUCUCACGAAAAAGAAAUAAAAAGAAAAAAGUGCCCCCAAAGACUGUGGAACCUCUUACUGUGAAACAGAAGCCCAGUGGGUCAGAGAUGGAGAAAAAGGCAGCGGUGGCCUCUGAGGUAUCUGCUCUCCAGGCGGCCGAGCACACCUCCCCAGAGGAGAGCCGCGUUCUAGGAUUCGGCAUUGUUCUGGAAUCACCUUCCUCAGAUAAGUACAACUUGCUGAAGGCUUUGAUGUGUUUAUGCCUAAAUCUCAGCUGGACUCUAUAUUGUCAAACUACACUCGCUCAGGAAGCCUUCUGUUUAGAAAACUGGUGUGUGCGUUUUUUGAUGACAAGACUUUGGCUAACUCCUUACCCAAUGGGAAGAGGAAAAGAGGACUCAAUGACAACCGGAAAGGACUAGACCAAAAUAUUGUGGGUGCAAUAAAAGUCUUCACAGAAAAGUACUGUACAGCUCACCAUGUGGAUAAACUUCCUGGCCCAAGAGACUGGGUACAGAUUCUACAGGAUCAAAUUAAACUGGCCAGAAGAAGGUUAAAAAGAGGCUCAGAGAUCACGGACAGUGAUGAAAGACUGGAUGGCAUUUCUCUACCACCAACAGGUAAAUAAAAUGCGUUUACAUUUUCAUCACCCCCUGGAAAAUACAGCCCACAAAAAUAUUUGCAUUGAAAAUGAUUUUGACAUUAGACAUGCAGACACUUGAGCAAACUGCUUCUGCAGUGGACCCAGGCCCUGGUCAUUGGAGCUUCUCAAGGCCCCGUGCUCAGAGAUGUUUUUCAUAUUGAAUAGAAAAACAUUUUUCUCACACUCUUAUUUUCAUAAAAAUCUCAGAAGAGCAAAUCCUAAGAACUAAGUAUCACAACAUUUUGCCACCCCAAACCUUUGGACAUUACAAAAUAUUUUUAAUAUGAAAUGAGAUUUCACUUUAAAACAGGAACCACUAAUUUUGUGUGAUCAAAUUCAUGGCUAGGCUGUCCUCUCCCACCUCCUCCAAAUGGCCUUGGAGCCUUGAGCAAUCAAUCAAUGGACACCCAAUGAAUACUGUGUUUUAACUGAGCGAUUUGAAUGAGCCCAGCCAUCCGGCGUGAGUGGCACAUUCCUAACACCAGGACCAGAUCAGCUGAAGACACCCUUCCAUGGAAGCAUUUGCUGCACACUGUUGUGUUAAGCCGUAGACAUAAUUCCAGCUUCAUAUUAUUUGACUCUCAAGUAAUGCUUCUGACCCUGGCUUCCUACCUGUGUAUAGGUUCAUAUCUGAGAGCCAGAGGGGCAGGUGUCUGAUCAAUGAGCCUUGUGGAAAACAAUGUAUCCCCUCCAUUGGUCACAGGACUCUACUGACUGCCCUCCAAAGGAUACCUGAAGAUUCUCUGCCCACAAAACCCAGGCACACCCAAAAGCCCUCUUACUGAAAAAGCUCAACCGAAUGUUUUUUCCUCUAGAUUUGGGGUGGUCUGUGUUCAUUAAAUUCAGCAAACAUUAGUGGAGUCUGUAGGCUGUGUAGGAACUAAACUAGGCCAUGUAUUCAUUGACAGCACGUAUCCCAAAAUGGCAAGGAAAGCCACAUUCACAGGUGUAGGAUGGGUCUGUGCUAGUGAACUUCUUCAGAGCAACAGGAAAAUUCAGCCGUGUAAGUGACACAUUGCUUUCUCUGCCACUGAGUAGCUAAGCAACAGACCCAUGGACAGAUAAAUGAAAUGAGCUACAUAGUGCAAAACGACCUGCCUACAUCAAGUUCUUUCCAUAUAGAGUCAUUAUAUAAAAGGGAUUUCUCUUCUUCUUUGGCUGUGUUUCCACAUUUGUGAAUUAAGAGAAUUGAAAGACGUGAUCUCUGUUGUUCCUUCCCAAUUUGUCAUUCUCUGACUGUCAGGGCACUCUUAUCAGCUUCAUUCUUACCACCCGGGCCCAAAACCAGCAGAUCCAUGAAAUCCUAAUCAUAAUAGACCUCGCCUUCAAAAGGCCCUUCAGGGUAGCACCAUGCCGUUCCAGCUGUGCUUCCCAAGUGCCCUCCCACCCCAGGCAUCUCCACUGCCUGCCGUCCUGCGUCACGUGACACAGCGAGCUUUUCUUAUUUGAAAACCACUCCCCUUGAAGUUUAUAUUCACCUCCAAGUGGUGAGUAUGGAAUGCCUUGUAUUUUCCUAUCUGAAGUCGGAGAUACCUUUCCAGUGAGAAAAUGGAGCCCAGAGGGUGCUAGAAGAGCCUCAUGGAACUGAAAAAAAAUGUCAAGGAAUCUGAGAAUGAGAAGGAACUUGAGAGAUCCUCUAGUCCAAUCCCUUCUUUUUAUCCAGUCCUUUUAUUUUACAGGAAAAAAAGCCUGAGGCCCAGAAACAUUAAGUGGCUUUCCCAGGGCCUCACAGCUGGUUGACGGCCUGGCUGGAACCCAGGUCCCUCGACUCCCAGCCAUGAUACCGUGUAGCUUUCUCCUACCUAAGCCAAAACCAGCUUUCCUCUGCAUGUUUCCUAAAGAUCCUAAGACAUGAUGGAUGUGCUAAUUCCUUUAGGAGUCCUCUUCACUGUCUCAAUCUUCACAAUUAAAAUGUUCGUCGUCAGUCAGCCCGGUUCACUGCGGCUGAAACUCAUUCCUUCCAGUCUAUUCUCAAACUUUACCCAAGGCUGUGAGGUCAUAAUGAAGAAAAUAGUACAACACACCUGCAGGUCUUUUCACUAAACUGUUGAUAGAUAUUUGAUACAAAUCCCUAAGCAGCAUGAUAAAUAAAAACAUUUAUCAUUUAGAAAAGAGGAAAAGAGGCCAGGCGCGGUGGCUCACGCCUGUAAUCCCAGCACUUUGGGAGGCCAAGGUGGGCGGAUCACGAGGUCAGGAGAUCGAGACCCUCCUGACUAACACGGUGAAACCCCCGUCUCUACUAAAAAAUAUACAAAAAAUUAGCCGGGCGUGGUAGCGGGCGCCUGUAGUCCCAGCUACUCUGGAGGCUGAGGCAGGAGAAUGGCGUGAACCCAGGAGGUGGAGCUUGCAGUGAGCCGAGAUCGCGCCACUGCACUCCAGCCUGGGUGACAGAGCGAGACUCCGUCUCAAAAAACAAAAAUAAAGAGGAAAAGAUGUAUCAGAUUGGUGCUCAAAUUUUGCAGUAAUAAAAUUAAGUAAUCUUGAUAUUCACCUUGAUAGCAUGUCUCUUGAUUGCCUCCAAAGUAAAAUCCCCAUUCUGGUUGGCUUCUUUGAAUGCAGUGCUGCUCCUAACAGCCCUCCUCACAUGUGCCCUUUAAGAACUCCACCUUUCUUGCGCAUGUGGUUUCAUCCUUGAACUUGAGCCUCACUCAUCAAAACCACAGGAUCGACCAACGGCUCUGAUACAGACUCUCAUGAUCCCAUUUGUCUGAGCUAGCAAUAGUUAGUUCUUUUUAAAGAUUCAGCAAUGCUUUUAUUACUUUUUUAAGGUCUUUUUUCUUCCUUCCAAAUUUGUGUGUUUGGGGCAAGGGCAGGGAAAGGGAUGUAAAUCCUUAAGUGUUUCUAUGAACCAGAAGUGACUAGGGUAGGGUUACAGGCAGGUCAAAUGACAUUUGUUUGGAUGCAUGACAUUGAAGCAACCUUCUGUUCAUCAGGUUUUAACAGAAAUGGAUUCACCCUCUAUAAUGCAUCCAUUUUAUUUUCCCUUAACCCUAUUCACUAAUCCUUUUUGAGCAACUACCAAGAAUCAGCCCUGUGUUGGAUGCUGGUGUAAAAUGCCCUCAGACUAGUGUGAGAGGCAGAAGGAAUUACGUAAAUGCUAUGGCGCAGAAGUGUGGAGAGGGCCUGGGGCUCAAGAGAAGCCACCCAGGAGCUGGGGACAAUUUGCAUUAAAAAAAAAAAAAAGUAUAGAGAAAGUGAAAUCAAAACAGUGCUUUCUAAAAUUUAAAAUGGAGCUUCCAAAUUUGAAAUGGGGAUGUUCAUCUAGACUUAGCAAUUAUCAUAAAUUGGCAUUUUACAUACUUUUCUUUUAAAUUAAUAAACAAAAGUGUAAGGAAGAACAUUUCAAUUGCUUUUACCACCCACAGACAACCAUUAUUAGAUGAUUUUUCUCAAAUGUUUCUCCAUUUUGUUUAUCUUUACGGUGGAGAUCAAACGUGUAAAAUUUUGUUUCCUAUUUUUUUUUUUUUUUUAUUUUUACCUAACAAGCAUUUUCCCAUGUAUGGCAAAUCUUCAUAUGCAUUCUUUUAAUAGCUGCAUGAUAUUCUGUUUUGCAGGUAAAUUAUCUUUUAGGCCAUUUUCUAUGACUGGUCAAUGUGUGGAUAUACUCCAGUAGUAACACACAUUCAUGGCCUUUCUCAUCAAAAAUCAUUACAAAUUUCAAAUUUCUUCAAUUGCUCAUGGAGGACAACUAAAGCCUUGGCUAAAAACUUAGCAACUUAACUGUGAAACACAGACUCCUCCCCAGCAAAUUCUUUACUUGUCCAGAACGCCCACCUCCAGCCAUGUCACAGAAGCAUGUACAACUCUUCCUUAGAGAAGUGGCUCUCCGCCUUCAUUUUCUUGUCUCUGUUGUAGGUAAUAUAUUUGACACCAGGAGAGAAAACACGGAGGAUACAGAACCAGGUUUCACUGCCUAGACUUUGAUUUUAGUGACAUUGUUCAGUGGCAUAUGUAACUUCCGUUUGAAAUUCCACAAAGAUCCACAUAGCAUUUCAGGUGCCUGCAAAGUGUGGGUGUUCUGUGAAGUUUACCUGUCAUGUUUGAAUAGUUUCAUAUACUUUCUUUGUAAUGUGUGAUAACCAAGCCUCCAAUCUGGUAUAAGAUUUUUAAAAUCACUUUUAGAGUUGAUUUGUUACCUUUUAAAAGUCCAGCAUUUGAUUUAGUUAGUUCAUUGUCCAUUAUAAAGAAGUGGGUCUCUCUUCCCUGUUUUCAUUCAAAACCUCAGUGUGAAUAUAGAGCUUUGAAACGUAUUUAUUUUAAUGUAAACUGCUUAGAUGCAAAUAUAAAGGAGCAUGGCUCUUUCCAGUGCUGAGAGAGCAGUUGUGAAGGCCAAAAUUAAUUAGACCUUCAUCAUCUUAGAAGAUGAAAAAGCUGUUUUGGGAGACAGGAUAGCUCUGACCUAUUAGAUGAAAUCAUUCAUGACAUCGGUACCCCCCAAAUAGCCAUUUGUAACUGAGUAAGUGCCAAUGACCUAUGAGUUAUUAGGAAAGAAAAACCUUUCACCUAAGUUGCAUCAACACAAUGACAAAAUAACUAAUUAAAAGGUGAGAAAAUCAAUCAGUUAUCUACAUGAUACCUAACAGCCAUUUUAACAGAUGGUCUUAACUGAGAGGUACCGGGCUUUGGCACCAUGUGGCAACUGGCUAAAAAUGUACUUAAUAUUAUAUCGUUUAUUUGGUUCCUAGUAUACUUGCCCUCUGCUUUAUAUAAAACUAAUAUAUGAAAAUCUGGAUUUAUUUUAAAAAGAUAUAUUGCCACGAAGGUAUUUGUUUUAUAAAAAUAUUUACCUCCAGAUUUCUUUCUCUAAUAAGAUGGUGAAUUUAAAACACUAUGUUAUUUAGAAACACUGCAUCUACACUUCAUUUAUUGUAUAAAGCAAAUUGCAUUGAAUCUUUGCCACUUGAUCCAAAGGCCAAAAAUUGGCAUGAAACCAAUUUUGACUACAGCUCACCAAACCCAGGGUUCACACCUGUCCACUAGCAGUUCCAAUGCCUUCCCCUAGCCCUGGAUUUAGCAAAGCACAGAAUGUUAAGAGCUAAAAGUUACUGUAGAGGCUACUCAGUCCCACCCCUCAUUCUGCAGGUGAGGAAACUGAGGAUGAAUGAGGGUAAGUGGUUGCCCAGAGCCUGUUAACCCCUCUGUGGCCGAGGCCCUGCCUAGAACCCGAAUUUCCUGACUACCCUGUCCAAGGUACUCCUGUCACAUCACACUGAAACGCUAAACCUAGAGAUAGGAGGGGGGCUCUGGGAAAAAUCCCUAUUCCACCAAAGACCAGCCAGUCAUCAAAGAUGAGAGAAGGCAUCCCUGUACUGUGACAAAAUUAAGUGUGGCUCGUGGAGUCAGUCUAACUACUAGACAAGUUACGUCUCGUAUAUGUGUGGUUUCUUUUUCUUUUUUUGCGGAGCUACAACGAAGCUCUGGAGAAAUUAUUUCCAUCAUACCUUUUCCUUAGCCUUUUUCCAUUUCUGGCCCGUAAGUAAUCCCUUUCCUGAAAACAGUCCCUUUGUUUUAUCAAGUGGUCUGAUGUACUGCGAACUGCGGCUCUUGUGUUUUUUGCACCAUGGGUUUUAAAAUCUGUCCUGUGCCUCCCACAGGGAAAUAUUACCCAAGGGAAGGGAAAAGAUUAAUUAGUGACCUUUCGCUCUGUUAGGAUGAGUAUGUUGCUGGUAAAGGCAGAAACGCUAACUUCCAAAUGUGGUCUGUUAGAGAUGUGCUGGGAGCCUUCGGAAGCACUGCCUUCCAAGGGAGGGCCACGGCCUGGAGUAUUCAGCACUUGAGGACGGGCGGGGCUUGUUCAACCCAAAGAUAUGUGCAAUGAAUGGAUCCACACAUUGGAAAUACGUAUCAAAACUGCAACAGUAAAAUCAUAUUUUGUAAAUUAAAAUUGUGUUUACUUACUGUGACUACUGUUCAGACUUUAUUCAGAAAUCCUUUUUAUAGGCUUUCUUAGCAAAAAAAAAAUCCAUAUCUAUGGAUAACAUCUCAAUCUUCUGUAUAUAUGUUUUAUUAAUAUGUAAAUAUUUAAUUUUUUUAAAUUACUAUGUUCUUUAAAAAAGAAUUCAAUGCAAGCCUGGUUGUGAAAAUGGUGUAUAACAUUGUCUUGUGAUAUCAAUUCCCAAGAUGCUCUUUAUGUCUGAUCUGGAAGAAUACAAUAAAUUACUUUAAUUGA